rnacentral:rRNA from 1 species
CCCUUAGAUGUUCUGGGCCGCACGCGUGCUACACUGAGUGGAUCAGCGGGUCAGGUUGCGCGAAAGUGUUUCCUAAUCUUGAAAUCCGCUCGUGAUGGGGAUUGACGGUUGCAAUUUUCCGUCAUGAACGAGGAAUACCUUGUAAGCGCGGGUCAUCAUCCCGCGCUGAAUACGUCCCUGCCCUUUGUACACACCGCCCGUCGCUCCUACCGAUUGAGUGGUCCGGUGAGGCUUUGGGAUCUGAGCGGAAAGAGCGUCUCGCUGUUUCUGCUCGGAAAACUCAGUCGAACCUUAUCAUUUAGAGGAAGGAGAAGUCGUAACA